CUGUUGACCGCAGAGUAUGUAUAAUUAUUCUUAGUCGUCAAACUAAAUCAUCCCUUGCAGUUUCUCGUAACCUUCAGAAAUUACUAGGUUUAUGUCAUAAGCUUUUUAUACACACUUUAAUAUAUAUAUAUGAAGGGCUAAUGUAUCAUUGAUACGUACCAGAAUACUUUCACAUUUAGUUUCGCAACAACAAAGGUGAUGUUUCGUCUAUUCUGCUGUUUCAUCAGCUGCACCAAGAUAAGACCGUCGUCGCCUCAACCACAAGUUGUUGAAACGGGCAAGAAAAUUCCAGAAUCUCCUCCUCUAUCCAAAGUGGCCACAACGGAGAAGAAAAAGCCACGGCCGUCUCCGAGACUGCCAGUAAAGGCUUCAGGCCGUCGCAAACGCUAUGGUAAAAACGCUGGCGGUGUUGGAGGUUGCGGUGGUGGAUGUGGCAGUGGUGGAUGUGGCGGCGGCUGAUAGCUAGUUAUAUUGAAGACAUGAG
rnacentral:lncRNA from 1 species